rnacentral:rRNA from 1 species
AUUGAACGCUGGCGGAAUGCUUUACACAUGCAAGUCGAACGGUAGAGGGGGCAACCCCUCGAGAGUGGCGAACGGGUGAGUAAUAUAUCGGAACGUGCCCAGUCGUGGGGGAUAACGUAGCGAAAGUUACGCUAAUACCGCAUACGAUCUAUGGAUGAAAGCGGGGGACCUUCGGGCCUCGCGCGAUUGGAGCGGCCGAUAUCAGAUUAGGUAGUUGGUGAGGUAAAGGCUCACCAAGCCGACGAUCUGUAGCUGGUCUGAGAGGACGACCAGCCACACUGGGACUGAGACACGGCCCAGACUCCUACGGGAGGCAGCAGUGGGGAAUUUUGGACAAUGGACGCAAGUCUGAUCCAGCCAUUCCGCGUGCAGGACGAAGGCCUUCGGGUUGUAAACUGCUUUUGUACAGAACGAAAAGGUUUCUAUUAAUACUAGGGGCUCAUGACGGUACUGUAAGAAUAAGCACCGGCUAACUACGUGCCAGCCGCCGCGGUAA